rnacentral:rRNA from 1 species
ACUGGAGUUUGAUCCUGGCUCAGGACGAACGCUUGCGGCGUGCCUAAGAAAUGCAAGUCGAACGGGGGCUUCGGCCCCAGUGGCGAACGGUCGCGUAACACGUAAGCAACCUGCCCUGAAGUGGGGGACAACAUCCCGAAAGGGGUGCUAAUACCGCAUGUGGUCACGAGUCGGCAUCGACUUGUGUCUAAAGAUUUAUCGCCUUUGGAUUGGCCCGCGUUGGAUUAGGUAGUUGGUGGGGGUAAUGGCCUACCAAGCCGACGACGGGUAGCUGGUCUGAGAGGACGAUCAGCCACACUGGAACUGAGAGACGGUCCAGACUCCUACGGGGAGGCAGCAGUGAGGAAUUUUCUGCAAUGGGGCGAAAGCCUGACAGAGCAAUACCGCGUGAGGGA